UGGACAGAUUAUUGUAUUCACGGUGUGAAAUAGGGGAUUACACUGUUUUUAAAUGAAAAAUGAAUCAAUUAACAUAAUAGACUCCU
rnacentral:pre_miRNA from 1 species